UCUGUGACUCGAUAUCUCCAC
rnacentral:piRNA from 1 species